UACGUAGGGUGCGAGCGUUGUCCGGAAUUAUUGGGCGUAAAAGAGCUCGUAGGCGGUCUGUCGCGUCGAAUGUGAAAACCCGGGGCUCAACUCCGGGCUUGCAUUCGAUACGGGCAGGCUAGAGUUCGGUAGGGGAGUCUGGAAUUCCUGGUGUAGCGGUGAAAUGCGCAGAUAUCAGGAGGAACACCGGUGGCGAAGGCGGGUCUCUGGGCCGAUACUGACGCUGAGGAGCGAAAGCGUGGGGAGCGAACAGG
rnacentral:rRNA from 1 species